GCCCUGAUAGCUCAAUGGAUAGAGCGAUUCCAUCCUAAGGAAGAGGUUGGGGGUUCGAUUCCUCCCGUCGGCA
rnacentral:tRNA from 1 species